UUUACAAAGUGUGUCUCCUACUGACUGAGUAUCGAAGUUUUAAGCCUUAAAACCAAUUAAUCCAACAACACCAACCGGCGUCAACGCACACCUCAGUCAACAUGAAACGAUUCUUUCGAAUAUUUUUUUUCGUUAUUGUACUGGGACUGGCAAACAGCAUAGCAAUAAGCCAAGAUCGAGUGAAUGCAGCACGGACAAUCUGUGGUAAUCGAAUUUCGACAGACCCCAAACCAUCGAAUGCACUACCCGCAAUGAAUAAAUUUGAAUUUGUUGGUCGAGCUAGGGAUUUAAAUCGAGCAUCAGUACCAGGUUCCCAAACUGGCACAGCGAAACCGGUUGCAUUUGCAAUUCAAAUGAACAAAUCGGAAUUUGUUGGCGGUCGACACAAUUCGGAUGAGUCAGGAAUGCAGCAAAUAGACAAAAGGAUUGUCGUAGCACCACAAAUGAAUAAGGCGGAAUUGGUAGGAGCUUGAAAUUAGUGUCCCUUUGCUCAAAUCAAUAAAGAAGUUCGUACUGCGUCAAAGAAGACACUCCU